AACAAUAUCCAUGAUCCAUGUAUCUUUAUCAAAAAAAAACACCAGAGAUUUUUGUCUUAACUCAUGUGAAAUUGCAUAGCAAGUGUUGUUUUGAAAUUAUUGUAUGUUCAAACUGCAUAGCUAGGGGAAGGAUUGCUGCCAGAUCGAUCUGAUAACUUGAUUGAUAGAUGGAUUCAAGUUAAGGUAGCUAUUUUCCUCUCCAGAACUAGACACUUGGUUUCUCUAGAACUACUGAACUUUUCAAGGCACAAUUAGCUCUUUUCUGAUCACCAGUUUCUUGUUUAUGGUUUGUGAGACAAAUCCUUUGUUUACCUUUUGUGUCCUGCCCUAUGUAAUACUCUCCUGCAGUAUUACUCUCUUUUCUUUUGGAAAAGUAUGUGUGAAGUAAAAAAGAAAUCUUUUGUCACUUGUUAGUUCACACCAUUAAUUUAUGCCCACUAAUAAUGUGUACUUAGAUGAAAUCCACACUAUUUUUAUAUGUUGGCCCCUAAAAUUAGUAUCUUUUUUAUGUGUGUUGAUAAAUUGGUGGAUGCAUGACAAAUUGGAGGAUGCAUGAUAAAUUGGAGGAUGCAUGAGCAUUGAUAUUGUUAUGAUUGUGAAUUGUAUGAGUUUUUUUCCCUUUAUUCAAGAAUGAUUGAUAAGGCAGAUUGGUGUGAUGCCAAUGUGAGGUAUUUCAUUGACAUAUGCAAAGGAAAGAUAGAAGCUGGGAAUAGACCCUUAGGAACGGUCACUAGGGCUGGUUGGAAAAAUCCAGUAACUAAGUAUGAAGAAAAAACUGGGCUGAAGCAAAUAAAGAAACAAUUGGAGAAUAAGUUGGACAAUAUGAAAAAGGAAUAUACAUAGUUUAUGGAGCUCAAGAAUUCUGCCACUGGUCUUGGAUGGAAUGAGGCAAAGCAAACUGUUGACUGCUCCAAUGAAUAGUGGGAUGAACACCUAGCUAGAUGCAACAAUCAAAUGCAAUUAUGUUAGGUUCUAUAAACAAGGACAGAAGCACCUUGAUGAUCUUCAUAUGUUGUUUGAUAAGAUACACCUGGAGAUAUUUUCUCCGAUGACUCAAGUGAUGAGGAUGUGGGUGAGAUACAAAAUCCUCCAGAUAAUGAUGAUGUCAAGUUGGCUGCUUUGAAAAAAAAUCGAAACCAUGAAAAAAGAAACGAAAGGAGUCCUCUACUGCUACUGACGAAAAGGAUGAGAAGAGCCCAUUCUUUCUCAUAUUUUGAAGAUAGAAAUUGCAGCAGAGAAGAUCUCCACAAGUGUUGAAGCAUCAUCUGCACCUUCCCUAGCAUUGUAGAGACCAUGAAGAUGGUUAAAGAUUGUAGGGUGCAAGAGAAAUCAGCUCUAAUGCAUACAGCCACCUUUCUGAUUGUCAAGCCUGAAUUUAGGGAGGUCUUUAGCAUGCUGGAAAUAAAAGAAGGAAGGUUUGACUUGCUUGAGAGGGAGCAUGCAAAGGAGUUGAUGAGGCGCACGUAGAAGCUUUCAGUUAUUUAUUUUUAGUGUUAUGUUGUGAAAAUUAUUUAUUUGCUUCCAUAUUCAGAAUCAUUUGAAAUAAUGUUGCCUGUAUUCUGAAACAAUAUUUUCCUGAGUUAUGCUUCCAUGUUUGA